GUGGGGAAUUUUGGACAAUGGGCGCAAGCCUGAUCCAGCAAUGCCGCGUGCAGGAAGAAGGCCUUCGGGUUGUAAACUGCUUUUGUACGGAACGAAACGGUCCUGGUUAAUACCUGGGGCUAAUGACGGUACCGUAAGAAUAAGCACCGGCUAACUACGUGCCAGCAGCCGCGGUAAUUAGUAGGGUGCGAGCGUUAAUCGGAAUUACUGGGCGUAAAGCGUGCGCAGGCGGUGCUGUAAGACAGGCGUGAAAUCCCCGGGCCCAACCUGGGAAUUGCGCUUGUGACUGCAAGGCUGGAGUGCGGCAGAGGGGGAUGGAAUUCCGCGUGUAGCAGUGAAAUGCGUAGAUAUGCGGAGGAACACCGAUGGCGAAGGCAAUCCCCUGGGCCUGCACUGACGCUCAUGCACGAAAGCGUGGGGAGCAAACAGGAUUAGAUACCCCGGUAGUCC
rnacentral:rRNA from 1 species